rnacentral:lncRNA from 1 species
GCUCAGCUAAAUAUAUGGCACAAAGAAGCAGUUUUUAUCCUGAAUUAUGCAGAGGCCAAAGCUAUAUGCUUUAGACAAAUGAAAUAAUGUUUUGUUUGGGCUUGGUGUUCAGACGGGUUAUUUAUAGUGCACUAGCUCGAUAUCUCGACAGUUUGUAUGUUAAUCUUAACGGAGUUAACGAAGUUUACCCCUAAACGGAGGCUGCCGGGUGGCUGGUGGACGACUGCUUCACCGGCUGGUGGUGGUGCCGGCGUUGGUGGAGAUAGCUGCUGGCGGCACUGGGAUUCCGUCGAUGGCUGGCGGCGCUGGGGUUCUGUCGUCGUUGAUAGAGAGAGAGGAAGAGGGAGAAGAGAGGUAGGUGCAGCUAUUUUUGUGAAAAGAAUUAGAGUUUGAGUUAUUUUGUUUAAAAGUGUGAUAAUGGUGGAUUUAAUCUCAACCAUUGAUCGGAUGACAUAAAUGACUAUGAUUAAAAUUGAGAGGAGUCAAAUGAAAUAGAAAUUGGGGAUUUUAAUUUGAGGUCAAAUUGGAAAUGAAUUUUGGCUAAAAUUGACAUAUACAUAUAUAAAAUGCGGCUAGAAAGUAAAUGAAAUGGGAAAAUUGAAUUGAAU